rnacentral:rRNA from 1 species
GACGAACGCUGGCGGCGUGCUUAACACAUGCAAGUCGAACGGAAAGGCCCUGCUUUUGUGGGGUGCUCGAGUGGCGAACGGGUGAGUAACACGUGAGUAACCUGCCCUUGACUUUGGGAUAACUUCAGGAAACUGGGGCUAAUACCGGAUAGGAGCUCCUGCUGCAUGGUGGGGGUUGGAAAGUUUCGGCGGUUGGGGAUGGACUCGCGGCUUAUCGGCUUGUUGGUGGGGUAGUGGCUUACCAAGGCUUUGACGGGUAGCCGGCCUGAGAGGGUGACCGGCCACAUUGGGACUGAGAUACGGCCCAGACUCCUACGGGAGGCAGCAGUGGGGAAUAUUGCACAAUGGGCGGAAGCCUGAUGCAGCAACGCCGCGUGCGGGAUGACGGCCUUCGGGUUGUAAACCGCUUUCGCCUGUGACGAAGCGUGAGUGACGGUAAUGGGUAAAGAAGCACCGGCUAACUGCGUG